GAUGAACGCUGGCGGCGUGCCUAAUACAUGCAAGUCGAGCGAACAGACGAGGAGCUUGCUCCUCUGACGUUAGCGGCGGACGGGUGAGUAACACGUGGAUAACCUACCUAUAAGACUGGGAUAACUUCGGGAAACCGGAGCUAAUACCGGAUAAUAUAUUGAACCGCAUGGUUCAAUAGUGAAAGACGGUUUUGCUGUCACUUAUAGAUGGAUCCGCGCCGCAUUAGCUAGUUGGUAAGGUAACGGCUUACCAAGGCAACGAUGCGUAGCCGACCUGAGAGGGUGAUGGGCCACACUGGAACUGAGACACGGUCCAGACUCCUACGGGAGGCAGCAGUAGGGAAUCUUCGGAAAUGGGCGAAAGCUUGACGGAGCAACGCUGCGUGAGUGAUGAAGGUCUUCGGAUCGUAAAACUCUGUUAUUAGGGAAGAACAAAUGUGUAAGUAACUAUGCACGUCGUGACGGUACCUAAUCAGAAAGCCACGGCUAACUACGUG
rnacentral:rRNA from 1 species